GGCGUGGGGUUGAAAAAUUUCACCGGUGAAGGGGGUGGGGCAGGGGCGAGAGUGGAGUUUGUCGGCAAAGGCAGAAGUGGAGAAUGACAAACUCGCUCCAAACCCACUCCAUGGCCAUCUCUACUUCUGAUUGAAUGGCCAAGCCUAAGUCAAAGUUGAGCCCACAAAGUGUGGGUUUAUUGUCAUAUCUUCUAAGAAAAUCACCGAUAAGCGACAUUGAUCCUGUCAAAGGCAUAGCAAUGUCACUUUAAAAAAUUGAGCCACAUGUGGACUUUGGUUUGAAAGUGCUAGGAGCAGAUGCUAUGUCCAUUCCUGGCCUGUAUGGUUUUGUUCAGAACCCUUCUCUCAAUGGCUAAUUCAACUAACACAAGAAAGGAAAUUCAGCCUAAGGAAAAAACGGCUAACAUGGAUAGCCUUGAGACAUGCUAGUGCACCACGAGCUCCGCAGCCAAAGACCAGCAAAACUAAAAAAAAUUCAAAUGUCGAGACCUACAAGGAUAGGAUUAACACUCUCCUGUUGGUGGCAACAAUUAUUAUCAUUGUGACCUUUGCGGCUGGUAUCACUGUUCCAGGUGGAUAUGACGACUCUAGAACUCACAAGGGCAUGGCACUUAUGGUAAAAAAGUUUGAAUUUCAAGUAUUCGUGAUCGCUAAUGCUGUAGCUAUGUGUAGUUCCAUUAUUGUUGCUGUUUUGCUCAUAUGGGCACAGUUGGGAGAUCUUAAUCUCGUUCGUGUUUCCUUGAAAUUGGCUUCGCCAUUGUUCGGAGGAGCUCUUACGAUGGUCGCAAUCUCAUUCAUGACAGGUGUUUAUCUAGUGGUGAGCAACCUUAAUUGGCUUUCUUAUGUUAUUUUGAUCAUGGGCUUAAUCUUUGUCCUUGCCCUUUCCACGCUGUUGAUUCUAUUCUUUCUACCAACUUCCUUGAACCAUCGCAUGCUACGCUACAUCUUCUACUAUCCAUUUUCUCUUUUGCUAUUAAUCAGCAAAAAGUGGCGUUGAUGUCUGGUCUGUUGAUAUUGGAAAACUCUCUUUUAAUAUUUUCAAACAAAAAAAGUAUGUAAAAUUAUUGUAACAACCACAUCAU